rnacentral:rRNA from 1 species
AGGGAAUAUUGCACAAUGGGCGAAAGCCUGAUGCAGCAACGCCGCGUGCACGAUGAAGGCCUUCGGGUCGUAAAGUGCUUUUCGGGGAGAUGAGGAAGGACAGUAUCCCCGGAAUAAGUCUCGGCUAACUACGUGCCAGCAGCCGCGGUAACACGUAGGAGGCAAGCGUUAUCCGAAUUUACUGGGCGUAAAGCGCGUGCAGGCGGUUCGGUAAGUUGGAUGUGAAAUCUCCUGGCUCAACUGGGAGAGGUCGUUCAAUACUGUCGGACUAGAGGAUGGUAGAGGGAGGUGGAAUUCCCGGUGUAGUGGUGAAAUGCGUAGAUAUCGGGAGGAACACCAGUGGCGAAAGCGGCCUCCUGGACCAUUCCUGACGCUCAGACGUGAAAGCUAGGGGAGCGAACGG